UGCGUUUCAAAAGUGGGUGAAGUCAGAGGUUAUAUAUAGGAUCAAGACCGAACCUUCAAUACUUUUGGUAAAAAUAACUAUAAAACUAGAAAUAGCAUAACCAUAAUAGUAACAAACUCAAAACAACUACUUUUGCUUAUAACACUUAUCAAAAUCGAAUCUGAGUAUGUUAUAUUCUUUUGACUGUUAACAUUAAACUACUAUUCAAAAUAAAUAAAUAAAUAAAUAAGCCUUGAGUCCCUUAACAAAAAUAUACUUCGUUUAAAAACAUAAAAUUAAUCACAUGUGCCAUGUUGCAUUUUAAUUGACCUUGAAAAACUAGAUGCCCUUUCUCAUUUCCAAAUAGCAUCAACAACACUCAAUGUUAUUCCUUUUUCAUGAUUCUCUUUUGUUUUCUUUGGUUUCAUCAUUGCUCCGGUCCACAAUCUAAAUAAUAACAAUGUUAAAACCAAAACAACAUAGAAAUUAGUAUAUUAAAAACUAAAGUUGUUUUUGAAUGAGGAAAAAUGUAAUUUUAGGACAAAUUACAAAUCUUCAACUAAUGAACUCAAUAUUCCAGGAAAAAUGUAACUAGAAACAUAAUUAGGAAACAAUGUAACUUUCAUUUCCAGAAAAAUAAUUAUGAAACAAUGGAACUUUCAUUUCCAGAAAAAUAUAUUUAAUUUACAGGAAAUAAAAAAAAAUAUAUUAAAUUAAUGAACUCCAUAAAUAAGAAAGAAAUGAGAUUUACCGAAGUAAGAAACAAAAGUCCAUAUUUCAUAAAUUUGAUUUCCACUUUUCCAGAAAUAUGAAUCAUACCUUACAAAAAAUUCCAUCCCUGCUUCUCAAGUCUCCAAAGAAUCUCUCCGACAAUCAAGUCUCCAGAAAUCAAUUAAUUAGCAAGACUGCACGUAGGAAAUCAAAUUAGAUAACAUAUAAAAAUAAAUCAAAGGAAAAAGAGGAUGGGAUAUUGAUUUUUCUAUUUUUUUUUCUUAUCUUAAAUACUGGAUCCUAGAUAUUAGAAGCAGCCAUGAGUCUCGUCUUGAGUCUUGACGUCUUGAGUCUUAACAUCUUCUCUACUCCACCAAACCACUAUAUGUGAUGCAUCUGUAGUGAAAUCAAUCGAUGCUCAAGAAUCGAAGUGAUUCUCGUUUAUUGUGCAAGAGUGGCUGGCGUGCAUCCGUCUCUCAAGUCUAGCGCCCACCCUAUGUGGUUGAACUGAUUAAGG
rnacentral:lncRNA from 1 species